GAAGGAUGAUCGAUUCUGGUACACCUUGACACCGAAAAUAUCGCGAACGACGCGGCUGUAUUCGGUUGCGGCUCCACUCUGGAUCUCUGAACCGCAUCGUCUCGAGCACGCGAUAAAAGUGUUUAUGUGUAAGGAGCGUGUGGAGCAGGGAUGGAAGCAGUGUGUAACGCUCG